rnacentral:misc_RNA from 1 species
CGCACAUUGCGCCCACUGGUAUUCCGCUGGGCACGUCUGUUUGAGCGUCAUCACAAACUUUCGGCUUGACAUUUUUGUUGACCGGUGUUGAGUUUGGUGAUUACCUGGCCCUUGCGUCAGGAACCGGCUUUAAAGUUGUGUGCUCUGCGGGACACCGACCCAGGAAAACAUAGUAAAAUUGCUACCUGUUGAACUGCGAUUGGUGAUGCCCUGCCUGAAUAAACCUCUUUUUGAAGUUUGACCUCAGAUCAGACGAGGAUACCCGCUGAACUUAA